UUUAAAGUAUAGUCAUCAUGGCCUUUUUUUGUCGUUGCCGUUGACCGCGGCGAUAGAAAUAAAUCUAUCGUCGCCAACAGUCAUCGAGCAAACUUCGUCGUUUGCUUUGGUUGUGCGCGUUCUCAUAUAAAUCAAGUACGUUUAAAGUUUUUUGUAGAUAUUGAGUGUAAUCGUGUAGAAAUUGAAAUCAGGUGCCGUGUUUUUGGAUCUGAUUAUCUGAUAAAUUUUUCGCUGUAUGUACAAUUAUUUGUGCAGGAAGUAGAAAAUGGGCAACAAUCAAACGACCGGGCAGAGGCCGCCGGAUCCGCCGCCGAAUCAGCAGAACAAUGUGUUGGGUUCUUCAGUGGCACAAAAGUUGUAAAGCAAAAUUUCAUUUACGGUUAGUUUAGACGCCAUGUUGAAUUUUUCAAAAGGCAACACUGUUUUCAAAGUGGGACAUCUAUGCGAUCAUUUUAAGACCUUAAUCUUUGUAAUUCGUCCUAUAGAAUUUGGCCAUCGUACUGUACCGGUUGACGUGUAUUUAAUCAUCUUUUUACAAAAUAUGCAAAAUAAGCCUGCAAGUCGCAAAAAAAAAACAAAAAAAAAAUUGUAUUCAAGAUGGCGGAAUGUUCCCAUAUGAAAAUUAGGGUCAAGACUGGAUCCAUGAUCUACGUGUCAAAUAGAGGUAAACUGUAUCAAAAGUUACCUACUACAACAGGGCUGCUCAAAAUUUGUAUAUUGAAGUGAAAUCACAAUACAUCUACAAAAUUUAUGUGUACACUGAGAUUUUUUUUUGAUGAAGCAAAAAAGUCCAAGUUUAUU
rnacentral:misc_RNA from 1 species